rnacentral:rRNA from 1 species
CCUACGGGUGGCAGCAGUGGGGAAUAUUGGACAAUGGGCGAAAGCCUGAUCCAGCCAUGCCGCGUGUGUGAAGAAGGCCUUCGGGUUGUAAAGCACUUUCAGUGGGGAAGAAAGCCUUGGGGCUAAUACCCUCGAGGAAGGACAUCACCCACAGAAGAAGCACCGGCUAACUCCGUGCCAGCAGCCGCGGUAAUACGGAGGGUGCGAGCGUUAAUCGGAAUUACUGGGCGUAAAGCGCGCGUAGGCGGUCUGAUAAGCCGGUUGUGAAAGCCCCGGGCUCAACCUGGGAACGGCAUCCGGAACUGUCAGGCUAGAGUGCAGGAGAGGAAGGUAGAAUUCCCGGAGUAGCGGUGAAAUGCGUAGAGAUCUGGAGGAAUACCAGUGGCGAAGGCGGCCUUCUGGACUGACACUGACGCUGAGGUGCGAAAGCGUGGGUAGCAAACAGGAUUAGAUACCCGUGUAGUC